rnacentral:sRNA from 1 species
UUCGACCAAGGUUUGACUUGAGCGCCAGCGAGAGAGCGUUGCCGCAGGCAACGACCCGAAGGGCGAAGCGUGCAGCGCUGAGUAAUCCUUCCCCCACCACCA